UCCUGGUGAAAUGAGGUUGGGAGCAGAACCAAGCAAGCGGCAAGGUGUAAAUUGUUAGGCAUUCAACACUCAAGAAAUUAAAAGGGAGCCUAGAACAUCUAACCAUGGUUCAGCCCCCGAUCUGACAAGGAAACUGAGUGAGUGAUCCCAUGCUACAUGCAGACAGUGGUUAAGUGAUUGUAUUCACAGCUAUGUAAAGGAUCUGCUUGGCCAGGCUUCUGUCAAAUAUCGCUCUUCCUCCUUGGUAACAUCAACAAAAUGGGGCAGGCUGAGCAGGUCCAUGAGGUCCAUGCCAAUUCAGAGACAAGAGGAGGAGUCAAGUCACCGUACUGGAAAAUGUGAAAAUUGUGGUCUUUUAUUUCAAUCAAACAAUGAAUUUUCCAGGACGACAACAACAACAACAAAUCCCUUUACGUACCUCUCACAAAGCCAAUGCACAGCCACCUUUGUGUAACCUAACUCGCAAAACAGUAGUGAUUCGUUGGCAAAUUCCUGCAAGGAUUUCAACAGCCAUCAACCAAGUUGUUGCAUUUCUCACCUUCCCUCUUCAAAGUGGGCUUUGAUUAAACAACAUUACCAUAAAUGCCCUUCUGGGUAGGAAUUCUGGGUAGGAAUUUCCAAAUCUACUUAAAUAUAAAUUGGGGAUUAAUUUAAUAAUUGUCUUUGGUGCUGAGAAGGAAUGGCAAGGAAAGGACCACAGAGAGUGAAAUGUGUAAAUACAAUUCGAAAAGGAAACCAACCUGUUUUGGGUCCUUUUACAAGUUUAAGCCAAGCACAUAAUGCCAAGUAACCUAACCCUUGUUAAUAAAAAUAUAUCAAAGCAAACAAGACAGAGUGAACCAUGGCCAGAGGGUAAAUAAAAGGCAGACACGAAUUUUCUGAAGUCUUGAACAGAGUGCAGUUCUGUACUGCUGCCUAAACUGCUUGCCUCCUGUACUUCUCCUGGCUGCUCUUUAAAAUCAACUUCAAAAAUUUCAGUAUGGCUUGCAAUGGUCUUGAGAUGGGAUUGGACUGUGCUCUUUCCAAUUAGAGUUAUUGCUUGAGCUGAUUGGUUGUUAUUCUGCUUCCUGCCCUUCCCAUCCAUUCAGGGAAGGCCAACCUCAUUGGCUCCCUUCUUGCUUUCCCACCACCUCUCCAGAGUGCCACAAAGCUUUUCCUAGUGCCCCCCCCCUGUCUUUUUGGGGACAAUUCUCUUUUCAGUAAUCCUGAUGCCUUUUAGCACAGAACAGAACAGAAUAACAGAGUUGGAAGGGACCUUGAAGUUCUGCUAGUCUAACCCCAUGCACAAACAGGAGGCUCUACCAGGGGUAGGCAACCUUGGCUCUUUUAUGACUCGUGGACUUCAACUCCCAGAAUUCCUGAGCCAGCCAUGCUGAGGGAAAAGGAAGAGGUUUCCAAGC